AACGAACGCUGGCGGCAGGCUUAACACAUGCAAGUCGAACGAGCUGAGGCCUUCGGGUCUCGAUGCUAGUGGCGCACGGGUGAGUAACGCGUGGGAACGUACCCUUUAGUACGGAAUAACUGAGGGAAACUUCAGCUAAUACCGUAUACGCCCUUCGGGGAAGGAUUAUCGCUAAAGGAAGUCGGCCCGCGUCUGAUUAGGUAGUUGGUGAGGUAAUGGCUCACCAAGCCUACGAUCAGUAGCUGGUCUGAGAGGAUGAUCAGCCACACUGGGACUGAGACACGGCCCA
rnacentral:rRNA from 1 species